AUAAAAAUAUUUUUUUAAGAAAAUACAUUGUGUUUGGCAUAACUGUUCUUCGCUUUGUAGUCUCUCCACGGUAUUCUUCAUGUUCUCCCUUCAGGUUCUCUAUGUCUCUCUCCUUUUCCCAGGUCCUGUCCCACAGUCUGCUCUCAGGCAGCCUCCUGGAAAUCAUUGGCCAGAUUUAACAAAUAAAAAAACCAAUUCCCGGUUGAAUUUGAAUUUCAGAUUAAGCAAUAGCCAGCUCCUGUGAUUUCCAGGGAAGGAUGGCAUUCAUUCCUGUCAUUUUGCUCUUCAGGAACAUACCUGUACCUGCUCUCAUGUGUAGAAGAGAUGACCAGGCCCAUGAGGGUAGAGGGGGAGAUGUACCAGAGAGGUCUG
rnacentral:lncRNA from 1 species